rnacentral:rRNA from 1 species
GAUAAACGCUGGCGGCGUGCAUAACACAUGCAAGUCGAACGAUGAAACUUAACUGAUUUCUUCGGAAUGAUUUUAAGUGGAUUAGUGGCGGACGGGUGAGUAACGCGUGAGUAACCUGCCUUGCACAAGGGGAUAGCCGUUGGAAACGACGAAUAAUACCCUAUGAUAUAAACUCUUCGCAUGAAGGGCUUAUCAAAGAUUUAUCGGUGUAAGAUGGACUCGCGUCUGAUUAGCUAGUUGGUGGGAUAAAAGCCUACCAAGGCAACGAUCAGUAGCCGGCUUGAGAGAGUGUACGGCCACAUUGGGACUGAGACACGGCCCAGACUCCUACGGGAGGCAGCAGUGGGGAAUUUUGCACAAUGGGGGCAACCCUGAUGCAGCGACGCCGCGUGAUUUAGAAGGCCUUCGGGUUGUAAAAAUCUUUUGUAUGGGAAGAAAAUGACAGUACCAUACGAAUAAGGACCGGCUAAUUACGUGCCAGCAGCCGCGGUAAUACGUAAGGUCCGAGCGUUGUCCGGAAUCAUUGGGCGUAAAGGGUACGUAGGCGGAUAAGCAGGUUAGAAGUGAAAUCCUAUAGCUCAACUAUAGUAAGCUUUUAAAACUGCUCAUCUUGAGGUAUGGAAGGGAAAGUGGAAUUCCUAGUGUAGCGGUGAAAUGCGCAGAUAUUAGGAGGAAUACCGGUGGCGAAGGCAGCUUACAAAACUACUACUGACACUGAGGCACGAAAGCGUGGGUAUCAAACAGGAUUAGAUACCCUGGUAGUCCACGCCGUAAACUAUGAUUACUCAGAGUAUGCGAUAUACAGUAUGCUCUCAAGCGAAAGCAUUAAGUAAUCCACCUGGGGAGUACGUCGGCAACGAUGAAACUCAAAGGAAUUGACGGGGGCCCGCACAAGCGGAGGAACAUGUGGUUUAAUUCGAUGAUACGCGAGGAACCUUACCUGGGAUUGAAAUGUAUAGGCUGGCAGCUGGAAACAGCUGCUGUUCACUUCGGUGACUUAUAUGUAGGUGCUGCAUGGUUGUCGUCAGCUCGUGCCGUGAGGUGUCGGCUUAAGUGCCAUAACGAGCGCAACCCUUAUCGUUAGUUGCUAACAGGUUAAGCUGAGGACUCUGGCGAGACUGCCGUCGUAAGGCGAGAGGAAGGUGGGGAUGACGUCAAAUCAGCACGGCCCUUAUAUCCAGGGCGACACACGUGUUACAAUGGUGAGGACAAAGGGUAGCUACCUGGUGACAGGAUGCCAAUCUCCAAACCUCAUCUCAGUUCGGAUCGAAGUCUGCAACUCGACUUCGUGAAGCUGGAUUCGCUAGUAAUCGCGCAUCAGCCAUGGCGCGGUGAAUACGUUCCCGGGCCU